UGACUGACCGUCUACUUCAGCUAUUGCUGCAUCAGUUGGAGGUUGCUCCAUGUUUACCUGGAGUACCCUCAACUGUCUCUAGAAUGAAAUGUCCUCAAGGGGAUGGGGAGCGUGACACCGUGCUCCUGUAGAGGGGAGUAAGACCCAGA